AUCAGUUUCAAUUAAUAAAAAACUUAAGACUCAACUUUUUGUGAAAUUAUAAGUGAUAUUGAAUCCAACUAUAAAAAAGUGAACAUGCAGUUCUUCAAAUUAGCUUUUGUGUUUUUUUUCAGUACUAUAAUGGCUAUUCUCGCUUUCGCUACGGCGAUGCCAGAUGAAACGAGAGCUAUUAGGGGGAGAAGAGCAACCAUGACUGAGGAGAAAGAAAUGAAAAAGGGCAAAGGCAAAGUCCGUAGGCGUCGGGAUUCUAAGGGGUCAAUAGAUGGGAUAAAUGCAAUACUAGGUAACACUCAAUUCAACAACAAACUUGGUCAUCCAGGAUAUUAUUUUCCUCCAAAUAAAAACAAAAUACUCAAAAACAAAUCUGGUGAAUCGAUACGGUUAAGCAUUUCCCCUUGAAAAUGAUACAAUAAGACAUUAAAAGAAUUUGAAUUUUGAAGAAUA